AGCACCCCAGAUCUCGGAGCUGAACUGUGAUCCACAGAGGGGCUUAUCUGACUGAAUGCUGGAGUGGAGGAUUAGGAAACCAGCACCAGAACAAGAGGACACAGUCUCAAGCUGUGCCAGGGGAAGUUUAGGCUUGAGUUUCUUCAGUUUGGAUAAUUGCACCUUUCUUGACUGUCAGUUAUACAGUGAAAGAAGUGGGAAGAAUUACUGCAACUGAAUCAUUGGGGAAAUGACAUUACCUCUCUCCUCCUCCUCCUCAAUUAUACCAUCUUUAUGACACAACAUAGACAAGAGGAUGCUCUCCUACUCAGGAGCGACAAGCAAGUUGAUUGGCAUAAGUGGCUUCAGCGUUAAGUGAGGUAACAGCUUAAAGAACCAACUCAUUAUGUGGAAUGACUGUCUGCUGUGAUACUUAAAAUCAUCUUGCAACACUCUGGAGCUCAAUGCAUAAAAUAUUAGCUUGGGCUACAGUGAAUUUGAUGGCAUUGCACAGACUUGGACAUAUAUUAAACAGAGCCACAUCUACUUGAGCUGCGUAAGAACCACUGGGGGAAGCAAAAUCAAUGUUUUCCAAAUGGAAGAGAAAGAAGACAUGAGGAAAAGAAAUGGUAUUUUCAAGCCUCUUUGAAAGGUAACACAAACAAUGUGCAGAGUAAAAAAGCAAUCUCUGAAGAAAAAGCACUUACCAAUGUCUUCACUCUAUAUUUGCCUUGCUUUGGAAGGAUAAGGCAUGGUA